rnacentral:rRNA from 1 species
UACGGAGGGGGCUAGCGUUGUUCGGAAUUACUGGGCGUAAAGCGCACGUAGGCGGCUUUGUAAGUUAGAGGUGAAAGCCCAGGGCUUAACCCUGGAAUUGCCUUUAAGACUGCAUCGCUAGAAUCGUGGAGAGGUGAGUGGAAUUCCGAGUGUAGAGGUGAAAUUCGUAGAUAUUCGGAAGAACACCAGUGGCGAAGGCGACUCACUGGCCCGAUACUGACGCUGAGGCACGAAAGCGUGGGGAGCAAACAGG